AUUGAACGCUGGCGGCAUGCCUUACACAUGCAAGUCGAACGGCAGCACGGGAGCAAUCCUGGUGGCGAGUGGCGAACGGGUGAGUAAUGUAUCGGAACGUACCUUUCAGUGGGGGAUAACGUAGCGAAAGUUACGCUAAUACCGCAUAUUCUGUGAGCAGGAAAGCAGGGGAUCGCAAGACCUUGCGCUGAUUGAGCGGCCGAUAUCAGAUUAGCUAGUUGGUGAGGUAAAGGCUCACCAAGGCGACGAUCUGUAGCGGGUCUGAGAGGAUGAUCCGCCACACUGGAACUGAGACACGGUCCAGACUCCUACGGGAGGCAGCAGUGGGGAAUUUUGGACAAUGGGCGCAAGCCUGAUCCAGCCAUGCCGCGUGAGUGAAGAAGGCCUCGGUUGUAAGACGUCUUUCUAGUCCGGGAACGAAAACGGACGAAUGGGUUAAGUAACCCGUUACGUGUUGGAGUGACGGUACC
rnacentral:rRNA from 1 species